rnacentral:tRNA from 1 species
GCUCCCGUAGCUCAGCUGGAUAGAGUGACGGCCUCCGAAGCCGUAGGUCACGCGUUCGAAUCGCGUCGGGAGCGCCA